GCCGGGAUAGCUCAGCUGGUUAGAGCGUCGGAAUCAUAAUCCGCAGGUCGGGGGUUCAAGUCCCUCUCCCGGUA
rnacentral:tRNA from 1 species